CAGCCGCCACGGGAAUACGUAGGGUGCAAGCGUUAAUCGGAAUUACUGGGCGUAAAGCGUGCGCAGGCGGUGUUGUAAGACUGAUGUGAAAUCCCCGGGCUCAACCUGGGAACUGCAUAGGCGACUGCAACGCUGGAGUGCGGCAGAGGGGGAUGGAAUUCCGCGUGUAGCAGUGAAAUGCGUAGAUAUGCGGAGGAACACCGAUGGCGAAGGCAAUCCCCUGGGCCUGCACUGACGCUCAUGCACGAAAGCGUGGGGAGCAAACAGGAUUAGAUACCCGCGUAGUCCCUGUCUCUUAUAC
rnacentral:rRNA from 1 species